UACAGAGGGGGCAAGCGUUUAUUCGGAAUUAUUGGGCGUAAAGGGCGCGUAGGCGGCCUGACAAGUGGAAGGUGAAAUCCCUCGGCUUAACCGAGGAACUGCCCUCCAAACUGUUUGGCUUGAGACCGGGAGAGGUGAGUGGAAUUCCCAGUGUAGCGGUGAAAUGCGUAGAUAUUGGGAGGAACACCAGUGGCGAAGGCGGCUCACUGGACCGGUACUGACGCUGAGACACGAAAGCGUGGGUAGCAAACAGG
rnacentral:rRNA from 1 species